GAUGAACGCUGGCGGCGUGCCUAAUGCAUGCAAGUCGAGCGAACAGACGAGGAGCUUGCUCCUUCGACGUUAGCGGCGGACGGGUGAGUAACACGUAGGUAACCUACCUAUAAGACUGGGAUAACUUCGGGAAACCGGAGCUAAUACCGGAUAAUAUUUCGAACCGCAUGGUUCGAUAGUGAAAGAUGGCUUUGCUAUCACUUAUAGAUGGACCUGCGCCGUAUUAGCUAGUUGGUAAGGUAACGGCUUACCAAGGCAACGAUACGUAGCCGACCUGAGAGGGUGAUCGGCCACACUGGAACUGAGACACGGUCCAGACUACUACGGGAGGCAGCAGUAGGGAAUCUUCCGCAAUGGGCGAAAGCCUGACGGAGCAACGCCGCGUGAGUGAUGAAGGUCUUCGGAUCGUAAAACUCUGUUAUUAGGGAAGAACAAACGUGUAAGUAACUGUGCACGUCUUGACGGUACCUAAUCAGAAAGCCACGGCUAACUACGUG
rnacentral:rRNA from 1 species